rnacentral:rRNA from 1 species
GGCGGCGUGCCUAAUACAUGCAAGUCGAACGGUCUUUUCUAUGGAAGCUUGCUUCCACUGAGAAGAUAGUGGCGAACGGGUGAGUAACACGUGGGUAACCUACCCAUAAGAGGGGGAUAACAUCCGGAAACGGGUGCUAAUACCGCAUAGUUUUCUUGAUCGCAUGAUCGGGAAAGGAAAGACGGCCUUUGUGCUGUCGCUUAUGGAUGGACCCGCGGCGUAUUAGUUAGUUGGUGAGGUAACGGCUCACCAAGACGAUGAUACGUAGCCGACCUGAGAGGGUGAUCGGCCACAUUGGGACUGAGACACGGCCCAAACUCCUACGGGAGGCAGCAGUAGGGAAUCUUCCGCAAUGGACGAAAGUCUGACGGAGCAACGCCGCGUGAGUGAAGAAGGUUUUCGGAUCGUAAAACUCUGUUGUCAGAGAAGAACAAGUUGGAGAGUAACUGCUCCAGCCUUGACGGUAUCUGACCAGAAAGCCACGGCUAACUACGUGCCAGCAGCCGCGGUAAUACGUAGGUGGCAAGCGUUGUCCGGAUUUAUUGGGCGUAAAGCGAGCGCAGGCGGUUCCUUAAGUCUGAUGUGAAAGCCCACGGCUCAACCGUGGAAGGUCAUUGGAAACUGGGGAACUUGAGUGCAGAAGAGGAGAGUGGAAUUCCAUGUGUAGCGGUGAAAUGCGUAGAUAUAUGGAGGAACACCAGUGGCGAAGGCGACUCUCUGGUCUGUAACUGACGCUGAGGCUCGAAAGCGCGGGGAGCAAACAGGAUUAGAUACCCUGGUAGUCCACGCCGUAAACGAUGAGUGCUAAGUGUUGGAGGGUUUCCACCCUUCAGUGCUGCAGCUAACGCAUUAAGCACUCCGCCUGGGGAGUACGGCCGCAAGGCUGAACUCAAGGAAUUGACGGGGACCCGCACAAGCGGUGGAGCAUGUGGUUUAAUUCGAGCACGCGAGACUUACAGGUCUUGACAUCUUGACAUCUAGAGAUAGACUUCCCUCGGACAAAGUGACAGGUGGUGCAUGUGUCGUCAGCUCGUGUCGUGAGAAUGUUUGGUAAGUUCCGCAACGAGGCCCACCCUAUUGUUUAGUUUGCAGC